AUAGAUGUUUACCACAUUCAACAUGGUAAAUACACAAUUCCAUCAUUCAAAAUAAUUAAUUUCAAAUUAAAAUAUUCUUAGUAAAAACACCCUCACUUUCUUACUUUCAAUUAUUCACUUCAAAUCAUCCACCAAAUUAUUUGUAAAAUCAUUCACCAUUCACUUCAUACAUAAAUAUAAUACUUCCAUCACUUUGAACAUAAAAGAUAAUUAUAUAUGCUUAAUUCUUACAGUUUCACAUCAAAUUAUAUAAUCAAAUAAAUAUAACAUAAUAAUUUAAAAAACUUACCUUAAUUUCUCCACCUACCCAGACUCUCUUCCACUUCCAACAUCCAUCUUCAAGCUUUUUUUCCUCAUCAAAUAUGAACUCUAACUAGCUUCACAACAAACUUAUCUUGCCAUGGCGUUGUUCUCUUGUUUUUACAAAAAAUCUAUGGAAGAAUUUUUGAAGUUUGACUUGAAAGGGUUGAAAAAAGUUAGACAAUGACCUAAAUGAAAGAAAAGGAAAGUUUAGCUAAAUAUGAGAAACAAGGAAGAGAGGAUAAACUGAUGAUGGAUGAUAUCUUUUUUUCCUUUUUUUCUUUUCUACAUCUUUC
rnacentral:lncRNA from 1 species